rnacentral:tRNA from 1 species
UGCGGGGUGGAGCAGUCUGGUAGCUCGUCAGGCUCAUAACCUGAAGGUCCUUGGUUCAAAUCCAAGCCCCGCUACCA